rnacentral:rRNA from 1 species
UUCGGAGCAUCGGAGAAGGUGGUGCAUGGUUGUCGUCAGCUCGUGUCGUGAGAUGUUGCGUUAAGUCCCGCAACGAGCGCAACCCCUAUCUUUAGUAGCCAGCACGAAAGGUGGUCACUCUGGAGAGACUGCCAGGGACAACCUGGAGGAAGGUGGGGAUGACGUCAAAUCAUCAUGCCCCUUAUGACCAGGGCUACACACGUGCUACAAUGGCGUAAACAAAGGGAAGCGACCACGUGAGUGUAAGCGAAUCCCAAAAAUAACGUCUCAGUUCGGAUUGUAGUCUGCAACUCGACUACAUGAAGCUGGAAUCGCUAGUAAUCGCGAAUCACAAUGUCGCGGUGAAUACGUUCCCGGGUCUUGUACACACCGAG